UCAGGACGAACGCUGGCGGCGCGCCUAACACAUGCAAGUCGAACGAGCAAAGAGGAGCUUGCUUCUCUGAGCGAGUGGCGAACGGGUGAGUAACGCGUGAGGAACCUGCCUCAAAGAGGGGGGACAACAGUUGGAAACGACUGCUAAUACCGCAUAAGCCCACGACCCGGCAUCGGGAAGAGGGAAAAGGAGCAAUCCGCUUUGAGAUGGCCUCGCGUCCGAUUAGCUAGUUGGUGAGGUAACGGCCCACCAAGGCGACGAUCGGUAGCCGGACUGAGAGGUUGAACGGCCACAUUGGGACUGAGACACGGUCCAAACUCCUACGGGAGGCAGCAGUGAGGAAUAUUGGUCAAUGGACGAGAGUCUGAACCAGCCAAGUAGCGUGAAGGAUGAAGGUCCUACGGAUUGUAAACUUCUUUUAUAAGGGAAUAAACCCUCCCACGUGUGGGAGCUUGUAUGUACCUUAUGAAUAAGCAUCGGCUAACUCCGUG
rnacentral:rRNA from 1 species